ACCACUGGAUUACAGACAUGAGCCUCUGUACCUGGGUUUUGGACAGUGGUUCUUCAUGUCAGGUUCCCUGAUACUGAAGAUGCCUCCAUGGGGUUUACAAACAUAGUCUUCCAAGCUUCUACCUUAACCUGGGGUGGCCACUGGAGUGUCACCUGGGAUUCAGAGAGUCCUCCAGGGCUUCCAGUGACUUACAGAAGACCUCGCUGUCUGGCCUCUGUUUACCCUACUGUGACUUGGAUGUGGCUUGUUCCCUGCCUCACCCCACAAAGGCUCAUGUUAGAAACGCGAGCCCUAGUGUAACAAUAUUAAGAAGUACUAGACCUUAGCUGAUGGAAUUUCCCUUUCACCCAAUGGUCAGAUGGCAACCAACAAGUUCAUUCAAGUCCAAGGGAAGACGGGCCUGGGUUACGAGUCCUGAGUGUUGACCCAGAGGUUCACGAGAUAAGCACCCUCCUUCCUUCUGUUGCCUUUUACAAGGCUUUCAGACUUUCCUUUCAAAAGCCCCAGAUGGAAUCACAUCGCCUCCCUGCUUUGAAGACCCCAGCUGAGUGGGCAGGAGGACCAGGAAUUCCAGGUCACCAUGACUACACAGCAAUUUCAAGGUCAGCCCGGGUUAUACGAGACCCAGUCUUGAAAGGAGAGUGCUGAGGAAUAAAAGCCAGUGACUAUAUGACCUUCACGGCCAUGGCCACCAGGGAGGUCACCCCUUGGCCACGUGCAUGCCUCCUUCAAUGGCUUCCCUCAUCCUGUCCCCUCGCUGUCCUCACGUCUUCCCACUGACCUCCUUCCAUGUCCCACCCUGACCCUUCUGUAGCCUUCCAGAGGCCCCCCGCCGUCCAUGCCUUCCCUCUACCACCCCCCCAAACACCUUCUGUCCUCCACCUCUGGGAGCACAGCUGUCCUGUCUUUCAGGGAUGGGGUGCUUUUCAAGACUAGGGCUUCAUCUCAGCUAAAGUUACCACUUGGGAAGCUUUUGUCAAGGGUCUUUAUGUUUUGAAGAGGUAUUGAAGGGGAGGAUAGGGAUGACUGCAGCCUAAGACUCCUGGAAACUAUCUACAGCCCUGGUUUUAAAGGAUUUUGUCCUACUUCUUAUGAGGAGAUCAUUUCAGGAUAUGCUGACCACCUAAGUUAGCAAGUGCUUGAGUCAGUUUUCAAAUUUUUGCUAUGCAUUUGAA